rnacentral:rRNA from 1 species
CCCUACGGGACGCAGCAGUGGGGAAUAUUGCACAAUGGGGGAAACCCUGAUGCAGCGACGCCGCGUGAGCGAAGAAGUAUUUCGGUAUGUAAAGCUCUAUCAGCAGGGAAGAAAAUGACGGUACCUGACUAAGAAGCCCCGGCUAAAUACGUGCCAGCAGCCGCGGUAAUACGUAUGGGGCAAGCGUUAUCCGGAUUUACUGGGUGUAAAGGGAGCGUAGACGGUGCAGCAAGUCUGAUGUGAAAGGUCGGGGCCCAACCCCGGGACUGCAUUGGAAACUGUUGAACUGGAGUACAGGAGAGGUA